rnacentral:rRNA from 1 species
AGAGUUUGAUCAUGGCUCAGAACGAACGCUGGCGGCGUGGAUAAGACAUGCAAGUCGAACGGGAUAUUGUUUGUAGCAAUACAAGCGAUGUCUAGUGGCGUAAGGGUGCGUAACACGUGGGCAAUCUGCCGAAGAGUGGGGGAUAGCUCGCCGAAAGGCGAAUUAAUACCGCAUGUGGCUUGUGAAGACAUCUUCACUGGGCCAAAGCCGGGGCAACCUGGCGCUCUUUGAUGAGCCCGCGGCCUAUCAGCUAGUUGGUGAGGUAACGGCUCACCAAGGCUAUGACGGGUAGCUGGUCUGAGAGGACGACCAGCCACACUGGAACUGAGACACGGUCCAGACACCUACGGGUGGCAGCAGUCGAGAAUUUUUCUCAAUGGGGGAAACCCUGAAGGAGCGACGCCGCGUGGAGGAUGAAGGUCUUCGGAUUGUAAACUCCUGUCAUUAGGGAACAAUUGUCAGCGAUUAACUGUCGCGGGCUUGAUAGUACCUGAAGAGGAAGAGACGGCUAACUCUGUGCCAGCAGCCGCGGUAAUACAGAGGUCUCAAGCGUUGUUCGGAUUCAUUGGGCGUAAAGGGUGCGUAGGCGGCGGGGUAAGUCAGGUGUGAAAUCUCGGGGCUCAACUCCGAAACUGCAUUUGAUACUGCCUUGCUAGAGUACUGGAGAGGAGAUUGGAAUUUACGGUGUAGCAGUGAAAUGCGUAGAUAUCGUAAGGAAGACCAGUGGCGAAGGCGAAUCUCUGGACAGUUACUGACGCUGAGGCACGAAGGCCAGGGGAGCAAACGGGAUUAGAUACCCCAGUAGUCC